rnacentral:rRNA from 1 species
UACGAAGGGGGCUAGCGUUGCUCGGAAUGACUGGGCGUAAAGGGCGCGUAGGCGGUGCAUUUGGUCAGGCGUGAAAGGCCUGGGCUCAACCCGGGAAUUGCGCUUGAGACUGGGCUGGCUUGAAUCCGGGAGAGGGAUGCGGAAUUCCAGGUGUAGCGGUGAAAUGCGUAGAUAUCUGGAGGAACACCGGUGGCGAAGGCGGCAUCCUGGACCGGCAUUGACGCUGAGGCGCGAAAGCUAGGGGAGCAAACAGG